rnacentral:lncRNA from 1 species
UUUUUUUUUUUAGUUAACAUAAAAAUUUUGUCAAAGUCCCUUUUAUAGUUCUUAAUAACUUUAAGGCCAUUUAGAUGUCCGGAUCAGGCCAGAUAAGUUCAUACGCUCGAGCUCCAUGUGCUCAAGGCAGAGAGACCUGGGGUAGGGGUGCUGCUGGUAACCCCAGACCCUAGGCCAAUCCAGGUGUGGGAAAAAGACUCCUGCGGCCCCCCUGCAUACCAUGUGUGUAGAGCACAAAGAAUGCCGGGCAGCUAGGCAAAUGGCAGGGACCCACGGGACCGGCAAGUGGGGAUAGGGAAAGACUCACCUACAUGGGCCAGGCUCAGCUGUAAGGGCUGCAGCAGUGGUUCGAGUUCAGAAAAGCAGCAUCGGGGGACUCCAACAUAACACAUUCUAACCCGUGACACAUGGCAGAACUCCUUUCCCGUGCCAUGUGCUUAGGGCAACAAGAAAAGACCCCUGACCCAUGCAUGCCACGUGCAUGGGCAAUGUGGGACAGAAAGAGAUGCUUAAGAAACACAUAACACAAAUGACAGCACAUUAGACAGCACAAACAUUAGACAGGACAAACCGCGGCAAAGAAAUGGUGCCCCAAACCAAAAUUACAACCAAACCUUGGACUUUCAUCCAGGGUGGAACCAAGGUUCUCGCAAGUCUGCUUACCCUAUGGUUCAAUUACAAAUUCUGCGCAGAUCAAAUACAAAUUACAAAUUCUGCGCAGAUCAAAUCAAGCAACCCUCGGACUUUCAUCCAGGGCAGGACUUCAGGGUCUUCCCCAGAAGUCCGAAUUACAAAUACAAAUUCUGCGCAGAUCAAAUACAAAUCAUGGCACCAAACAAAACAGCAAGAGACAAAACAAGAAACAUAGAACAUUGAACAUAUAUAAAUUGCGAGCUCGAAUCAUCUUACCUCCAAGAUCGAAUCCACUCAGGCCAGGUUCGCGGUCACCCAAUCACCAGGCGGAUUCGAGAGCUUGCUGCAAACUGCACGAGGCUUUAUUGUAAUUUAACGAACUAACCCCAUGUUAGCUCGGGUCUUUCACCCACCCGCCAUGGCAGACGGCUAGAAAAAGACGGCUCCUAAGGUCUCCCCAAAGAUCUUAUAGGGCAGCGUAAGGGGAGUGUCUAGGGGUACGCACAGGCUUACGCACAGGCUCAUGAUUGGUGUGCCUCCAGGCUUGGAGGGCUUGCCCUGUGUUGAUUGGUCAACUGGUUGUUAUGGCUCAUAGGCCCUCCCAGGGUGGUUGCUAUGCUCUCUACGUCAUUGCUGUGCGC